CAAAAUUCUUUACUUAGAGAUUCCUUUUCCUGGAGCAUUCAGUGAGUCCCAGUCCUUGAGAAUAGGAUUUAUCAUAUGUACACCCAUAUUUCCUUGCUUAUACUUUGAUGAGAGCAAAGUAUCAUAAGGAAAAUGACAACCAUAUUCAUCAAAUACCCUGAAUGGACUGCAGGUUUAGUUUCUGGCUUUGCUGUGACAAGGUCUGUUGGUGGACCCUAUUACUAGCACCUGGCUGUGCCCACCACUGUCAGACUCUGGUCUCUCUGUGACCCAUU